GAUGAUGCGUAGUGGUCUACUAAUUAAAUUGCAAAUUUAAUAUUGAAAGUUCAAUUCUUUCCAUUAUCU
rnacentral:tRNA from 1 species